rnacentral:rRNA from 1 species
GACGAACGCUGGCGGCGUGCUUAACACAUGCAAGUCGAGCGGAAAGGCCACUUCGGUGGUACUCGAGCGGCGAACGGGUGAGUAACACGUGAGUAAUCUGCCCCUGGCUUUGGGAUAGCCACCGGAAACGGUGAUUAAUACCGGAUACGACCACUUCUCGCAUGGGAUGGUGGUGGAAAGUUUUUUCGGCCAGGGAUGUGCUCGCGGCCUAUCAGCUUGAUGGUGAGGUAAUGGCUCACCAUGGCUUCGACGGGUAGCCGGCCUGAGAGGGUGACCGGUCACACUGGGACUGAGACACGGCCCAGACUCCUACGGGAGGCAGCAGUGGGGAAUAUUGGUCAAUGGGCGGAAGCCUGAUCCAGCAACGCCGCGUGAGGGAUGACGGCCUUCGGGUUGUAAACCUCUUUCAGCAGGGACGAAGCGCAAGUGACGGUACCUGCAGAAGAAGCACCGGCCAACUACGUGCCAGCCGCCGCAGUAACAC